GGGGGGGGGGGGGGGGGGGGGGGGUGGGGGGGGGGCGGGGGGGGGGGCGAGAAGCGGGCUGGUCUGAGGGGAGCGGCGGGCGGGGGCGUGACACGUGGGUAACCUACCUGUACGACUGGGAUGACUUCGGGAGGCCGGGGCUAAUACCGGAGAAGAGUUUGACCCGCGUGGUUCAGAAGUGAACGCGGGUCUUGCUGGCACUGCUAGAUGGAUCGGCCCUGCAUUAGCUAGUUGGUAAGGUAACGGCUUACCAAGGCAACGAUGCAUAGCCGACCUGAGAGGGUCAUCGGCCACACUGGAACUGAGACACGGUCCAGACUCCUACGGGAGGCAGCAGUAGGGAAUCUUCCGCAAUGGGCGAAAGCCUGACGGAGCAACGCCGCGUGAGUGAUGAAGGUCUUCGGAUCGUAAAACUCUGUUAUUAGGGAAGAACAUAUGUGUAAGUAACUGUGCACAUCUUGACGGUACCUAAUCAGAAAGCCACGGCUAACUACGUG
rnacentral:rRNA from 1 species